UAGGGAAUCUUCGGCAAUGGGGGGAACCCUGACCGAGCAACGCCGCGUGAGUGAAGAAGGUUUUCGGAUCGUAAAGCUCUGUUGUUAAGGAAGAACGAGUGUGAGAAUGGAAAGUUCAUACUGUGACGGUACUUAACCAGAAAGGGACGGCUAACUACGUGCCAGCAGCCGCGGUAAUACGUAGGUCCCGAGCGUUGUCCGGAUUUAUUGGGCGUAAAGCGAGCGCAGGCGGUUAGAUAAGUCUGAAGUUAAAGGCAGUGGCUCAACCAUUGUAGGCUUUGGAAACUGUUUAACUUGAGUGCAGGAGGAGAGAGUGGAAUUCCAUGUGUAGCGGUGAAAUGCGUAGAUAUAUGGAGGAACACCGGUGGCGAAAGCGGCUCUCUGGUCUGUAACUGACGCUGAGGCUCGAAAGCGUGGGGAGCGAACAGG
rnacentral:rRNA from 1 species